UACGAAGGGGGCUAGCGUUGCUCGGAAUUACUGGGCGUAAGGGGCGCGUAGGCGGAUGAUUAAGUCGAGGGUGAAAGCCCGGGGCUCAACCUCGGAACUGCCUUUGAUACUGGUCAUCUUGAGUACGGGAGAGGUGUGUGGAACUCCGAGUGUAGAGGUGAAAUUCGUAGAUAUUCGGAAGAACACCAGUGGCGAAGGCGACACACUGGCCCGUUACUGACGCUGAGGCGCGAAAGCGUGGGGAGCAAACAGG
rnacentral:rRNA from 1 species